UUCCGAUUGGGCAGGAGGCUUACCCCCGCAGCGGUCUAUUAAGCCUAUUGGUCGAGCCCGCUUUGGGGGCGGGGCUUGCGCGCUCCCCGCCCUCGCCUGCGCCGCGGCGCAAGGGGCGGGGCGCGCCGCCGCCGUCCGUGUUUCCGCCGCCGCCGGCUCCUGCGCGUUGGGCGGGGGAGGAGUCGGAGGCGGAGAAGAAGGCGGCGGCGGCGGCGGGUGGAGGACCGAGCGCCGUCCUCGCUCCGGAGCCGCUUCUCAGCUCGUUUGCAAAACUAUCUUCAGAGAAGAGUAGCAGUUAAGAGAAGAGUAAUAGGUAAGGGAAGAGUAGUAGAUAAUCAAGUAUAGCCUUCUGUCUUAUCUCUUGUUACUAGGGAUAACAAACCCGUUUCAUCUCAGAAGUUUUAACAGCUGUCCCUUAAAAUUUCUCUCUGAUUUAGGUAUUAUUAUCGUUUCUAAAGUUGUUCAUUUGCAGAGUUUGCUAAUCAUACCUUGGAAGUUUUCUUGUGAUGGUGGUGGUGGUCAUUCACUUAGUCAUGUCUGACUUUUGCUAGCCCAUGGACUGUAGCACGCCAAGCUUCCCUGUCCUUUACUAUCU
ensembl:lncRNA